UACGUAGGGGGCAAGCGUUGUCCGGAAUCAUUGGGCGUAAAGAGCGUGUAGGCGGCCCGAUAAGUCCGCUGUGAAAGUCCAGGGCUCAACCCUGGAAUGCCGGUGGAUACUGUCGGGCUCGAAUCCGGAAGAGGUGAGUGGAAUUCCUGGUGUAGCGGUGAAAUGCGCAGAUAUCAGGAGGAACACCAAUGGCGAAGGCAGCUCACUGGGACGGUAUUGACGCUGGAGACGCGAAAGCGUGGGGAGCAAACAGG
rnacentral:rRNA from 1 species